rnacentral:rRNA from 1 species
UACGUAGGGUGCAAGCGUUGUCCGGAAUUAUUGGGCGUAAAGAGCGUGUAGGCGGCCCGAUUAGUCCGCUGUGAAAGUCCAGGGCUCAACCCUGGAAUGCCGGUGGAUACUGUCGGGCUAGAGUCCGGAAGGGGCGAGUGGAAUUCCGUGGUGUAGCGGUGAAAUGCGCAGAUAUCAGGAGGAACACCAAUGGCGAAGGCAGCUCGCUGGGACGUGACUGACGCUGAGACGCGAAAGCGUGGGGAGCAAACAGG